rnacentral:rRNA from 1 species
GACUGUGCUAAGGUAGCAUAAUAAUUUGUCUUUUAAUUGAAGACUUGAAUGAAUGGUCUAACCGAGACCUACCUGUCUCCUUUUUAAAAAUUAGAACUUGAAUUUUAAGUGAAAAUGCUUAAAUUCCCUAGAGGGACGAGAAGACCCUGUAGAUCUUUAUUGAGAUUAAGUCAAUAUUUACCUGGGAGGGGGUUUUUAUAAAACUAAAUACAAAAAAUGACCUCAUAGUCUAAAUUGUAGACCCUUAUCGGAUAAAUUGAAAUAGUUACCUCAGGGAUAACAGCGUUAUUUUCCCUUUUUAGACCUUAUAAAAUAGGGAAGAUUGCGACCUCGAUGUUGAAUUAAA